rnacentral:rRNA from 1 species
UAGGGAAUCUUCGGCAAUGGGGGGCAACCCUGACCGAGCAACGCCGCGUGAGUGAAGAAGGUUUUCGGACCGUAAAGCUCUGUUGUAAGAGAAGAACGUGUGUGAGAGUGGAAAGUUCACACAGUGACGGUAACUUACCAGAAAGGGACGGCUAACUACGUGCCAC